rnacentral:rRNA from 1 species
UACAGAGGUCUCAAGCGUUGUUCGGAUUCAUUGGGCGUAAAGGGUGCGUAGGUGGCGUGGUAAGUCGGGUGUGAAAUUUCGGAGCUUAACUCCGAAACUGCAUUCGAUACUGCUGUGCUUGAGGACUGGAGAGGAGACUGGAAUUUACGGUGUAGCAGUGAAAUGCGUAGAGAUCGUAAGGAAGACCAGUGGCGAAGGCGGGUUGCUGGGCCGACACUGACGCUGAGGCGCGAAAGCCAGGGGAGCGAACGGG